rnacentral:rRNA from 1 species
GUAGGUGGCAAGCGUUGUCCGGAAUUAUUGGGCGUAAAGCGCGCGCAGGCGGUUCUUUAAGUCUGAUGUGAAAGCCCACGGGCUCAACCGUGGAGGGUCAUUGGAAACUGGAGAACUUGAGUACAGAAGAGGAAAGCGGAAUUCCACGUGUAGCGGUGAGAUGCGUAGAGAUGUGGAGGAACACCAGUGGCGAAGGCGGCUUUCCGGUCUGUAACUGACGCUGAGGCGCGAAAGCGUGGGGAGCAAACAGGAUUAGAUACCCUGGUAGUCCACGCCGUAAACGAUGAGUGCUAAGUGUUAGGGGGUUUCCGCCCCUUAGUGCUGCAGCUAACGCAUUAAGCACUCCGCCUGGGGAGUACGGCCGCAAGGCUG